UACGUAGGGGGCGAGCGUUAUCCGGAUUCAUUGGGCGUAAAGCGCGCGUAGGCGGCCGCCUAAGCGGAACCUCUGACCCCGGGGCUCAACCUCGGGCCGGGUUCCGGACUGGGCGGCUCGAGUGCGGUAGAGGAGAGCGGAAUUCCCGGUGUAGCGGUGGAAUGCGCAGAUAUCGGGAAGAACACCGAUGGCGAAGGCAGCUCUCUGGGCCGUCACUGACGCUGAGGCGCGAAAGCUGGGGGAGCAAACAGG
rnacentral:rRNA from 1 species